AGGCUUCUCAACCUAGCAGGGAUUUUUGUCCAGUAACAUUCUGAGAAGGAAAAUAAUUUACUUAACAGUUUUUUAGUUACUGGAGCAAAGAAAGGUUUAAGAAGAUUUUUUGUGCUUGUGAACUGCUGGCCUUGGAGAGUACUUGCUGUGGAAAGGAAAGGAAAGAUCAUAGGAAACCAGCAGAAAACUGUGGACCCAAAAUCUCCAGGACAUGUGAGAAAUAAUGGCAAGAGGGAGACUGCUGCAAAAAUGAGUAAUGGCCGAAAAACAGAUGUAAUCCCUAUGGCAAAUUUUAAAAGCACCUUGUAGAAUGAAGUUCACUGCCUGCUCCCCCAUGGAACUGGGCGACUUGCCUCCUCUUCUCCUUGGAGUGGAAUGUGCUGCUUCUCUCUCCCGGGAACAGCUGAGUAGUAUGAGGCCCCUCUGCUACAGGAGAGAGGGGCGGUACCCCAGCAGCAUUCUGCCUGACUGGAUAUGCAAAUGGUGAAAAAAAUCUAAUUUGUAACAUUUUCCACUUCAGUUUCUUCAAGUCACAGUCUUUGUUUGAUUGUUAUGCAUGUUUAGAAAUGAACAGAAUUAAUCAUAUCAGAAAAAAUGCAGGCCUAAUAUAAGCUGUAUAGUGCGGCUUAACAAAUGCAAAUAUUUGCCAGCA